rnacentral:misc_RNA from 1 species
UUUAACAUAAAUACGUAAUGCGGAACUGCUAAAAAUUACCAAGGCCUGUGGUUUUCCGAAUGAGCUAUACCGACACGGAAACAAUAUGAAAUUCCACUUCCCUUCUACAUGGGAAACAUUCUCAAGCAAUAUCGGCGUUAUAUAUUGGAUAUAGUGUUCUGCAGGACAUGACAAAAUGAAUUGGCAUGGACACGAGGGUUUGUUACCAACAACAUUUCUGUUUGUUGUGUAUGUUUUUCUCCUGAUACACCAAGGUGACACCAAAUGCGUGUACAAAACUCGCCGACUCUUGAAGGAUGGCUGUGUGAACUACUGUCCCGAGGACCAAUGUCCCGAGGAAUGUACCUACUGUGACAGCGGCUUCUAUGGGUCUGACUGUACACGGAGCUGCCGAGGACACUGCUUGAAUGGAAGAGUUACAUCAACACUCUGCAGUGACGUCAAGACCCCUUGGUGACAGAUGGUCAAUAUCCCCAUAUUUCCUCACUGGCAUUGCUGUAUUAUCUGCAGUAAUUACUUUCAUUAUCGUCAGCAUCGCCAUCACCAGCAUGAAAGCAACAAGAAUGCAAUCGAAGACGGGAGCAGUUGAGAAGCGUGAAGAGUCUUAUCGGCUCCUCAAUGUGAAAGUCAACGUUAUUAUAAGUAAUGUAGUUUCGUGAAUCUGUAUUAACUGACAUAGGAUGAAACAGACAAAUACGCGAGUAAAAUACCGUACACCAAAAGUGUAUUGAAAGUUAGUAGGGCGUGACAGGUUUUAAAUAACUGCUUUCAAAAAGUUAAAUGUUCAAUAAUAACUUGCUUCUUAAAAUGGAAGUAAAAAUGUAUUUCAAUGAUUUAACAACUACUCAAAGACUUUUGAGAACCUGUGGAAAACUACCACUAGGUGAAGUUCUUUCAUUCACAAGAGAGCAAGUGAUCCUCAAAGGUUUCAAAAACCAUAAACAUGUGACCUACCAGGAGAAAAGGGACCUUAUGGUUGCUUGGAUACAAGUUUGCAGUGACGUCAUAAAGAAAAAAACGUCAACUUACUGUGUGCGGACAUCGUAUAUUCUCUCUUUUCUGCAUUUCGGCAUAUAUACCUAGUUUCAAUCAGACAUUAUAUCUAAAAACUGACAUUAUUACAUAAACAGUCAUAAGUCUGAAAAUGAGUCCAAAUGUUUGAACUCAUGUGUCUCUGUAAUACAUAUGAAUUUAAGCUUAUCAACUGUAUUUUCGUGGCCCUGCGAUCCUGUAAUUUUAACAUAUAAUAAGAAAUCAAAAUGUGAUUUUUCACCCAUAAGGUCCGUCAUCUCAUGGUUGGACACAUAUAUAGCAGCUUAUUAUACAUUUCGGAGUUCAAUAUAUUCUUUAGAUAGUAGUUCACAUUGGUUGUAUUGGGUCUACUCUACUACGCAAUAAACAUGGGUAAGUUUCAUAUGGAUAAGCAGGAAAAAGAGGUUUUGUGCAUUUUUCACCCGUUGAGAUCAUGAUAAAAGCUCUCGAUAAGUAACCAAAUAUCUACGAAGAGGUACAUGUUUGUUUGUUUGUUGUUAAAUGCCGCACUCAGCGAUAUUCCAGCUAUAUUCCAGCUGUACAUAAUCGAGUCUGAACCAGAAAAUCUAGUGAUUGACAUCAUGAGCAUCGAUCCACGCAAUUGGGAAACGAUGACAUGCAUCAACCAAGUCAGCGAGCCUGACCAUCCGAUACCGUUAGUCGCCUCUUAAGACAUACGUGUGCGCAGCCUGAAACGGCUACUCUAGGUAAUUACGCAGUGUUGUUAGAAUAAUGGAUUUUUGAAAUUCGUCAUGCGUAUUUUUACGUCAAGGAGUAGAAUGACCGGAUAUUUAUAUUUAAAGUCAGGAGAAAGGGUAGAGUUGCUUCCCUUUUAUGAUACCAGCUAACAAAGAAAGUAAUGCGAAUGAAUAAUUUUUUGAUGUGUUGUUGAAGAUGGUUUAAUACGUCAUCGUUUAUUGACAACACAAUUUAAAUAUUAAUUGAUUCCCAUAUAACGCGUUAUUUUUCUUAAAUUAUUUUACUGAAACAUCAUUUAUACAUCAUAAUUUGUCUAAACCUUUCUGUCAGUUGAUUUUGAUUUAAGAAACUGACGAGAGUUAAAGGCUAAGGCAGUUUAACAUUUCCGUUUGUUGACAUUCGCUGCGGUUUGUUUUCUUUGGUUGAAAAUACAUAAUGCUAUUGAACAGUGAAUCACAAAACAGUAUACAGUCUCCUAGAAGAUGUAUUUUUGGGUUUGUUUUUAUAUUCUAGACAUGUAAAUUCUGUAGAACUAGAGAUAAAGAUAUAAAGGUAGGUAAAGCAUUCUUCAACAAUCGAUACCUGUGCUGUCUGUGACAGAUUCCUUUGUUUGAAGACUUUAUUGAUGAAUGCCCCGGCGGUGGCCCGAGUUCGAGUAGGUCAUUGAAUCAUCCAACUGAUCAUAAGAGGCGAUUAAAUUGCUUCGGGUGGUUACGCUUGGUGAUAUCUUAUCAUCGUACCUGUCAUUCUGAAUGUCUUUCCUGUUGUUGAUUAUCAUUCUUUGAAUAUAUGCGUCCACAAUGUUGGCUUAUCCAGACUAAAACAAAACGUAGCACUGAAGAAGCAUUUUUUAAGCACAAGAGGUCCCAGUUGCUCUGCCACCAAGAUCGGCACAAAUAAACGGAAAAAAACGCUAGACAAAAACAAACUGUUUGCAGUGCAUACUUGAACAGAUGAAGAAUUGUAUGUAUUUUGUUCUCUGUGUGUCCGUGUCGUGUCCUCAUAUAUAACUUGAUCCCGUUCAAUUUUUUGUUGUUUUUAAGCCAAUUAGUUUUCAAGCUUGUUAUGUAUUCCCGUUUUUGCAGACCCUUUACAAUAAUUAGAGUAUCAACUUUGAUAGGCCUUUAGACGUAAGAUGACAACAUGGACAACAGUAUGGACAACAACCUCUUUGGUAUACAUACAGGAUUGACAGAGUGGGAGAGCAUGACAUUUAUACACAAACAUACAAUAUUAAUAUCAUGUUUAUUAUCUCAUUUAAACUCUUGUGUAAAAACAUCACCUUGUAUCCACUCACCUAUAACUUGUCAAGUCCGUGUCGAAUAAAGGUCAAGGUCUCGAUUAAACGCCGGAAGUAAACGCUGGAUAAAGAGCGUCUUAAAGGAAUAUACGCCCGGGGGGUUUGUUUAAUACGGUACUCCUUUGUUAAUCUACAAUAAAUGUGUCUGCAAAA